rnacentral:rRNA from 1 species
GGCUUAGAGUUUGAUCAUGGCUCAGGAUGAACGCUGGCGGCGUGCUUAACACAUGCAAGUCGAACGAAGCGAUUUGACGGAAGUUUUCGGAUGGAAGCCAAAUUGACUGAGUGGCGGACGGGCGAGUAACGCGUGGGUAACCUGCCUCAUACAGGGGGAUAACAGUUAGAAAUGACUGCUAAUACCGCAUAAGCGCACGGAGACGCAUGUUUCUGUGUGAAAAACUCCGGUGGUAUGAGAUGGACCUGCGUCUGAUUAGCUAGUUGGUGAGGUAACGGCCCACCAAGGCGACGAUCAGUAGCCGACCUGAGAGGGUGACCGGCCACAUUGGGACUGAGACACGGCCCAAACUCCUACGGGAGGCAGCAGUGGGGAAUAUUGCACAAUGGGGGAAACCCUGAUGCAGCGACGCCGCGUGAGUGAAGAAGUAUUUCGGUAUGUAAAGCUCUAUCAGCAGGGAAGAGAAUGACGGUACCUGACUAAGAAGCCCCGGCUAACUACGUGCCAGCAGCCGCGGUAAUACGUAGGGGGCAAGCGUUAUCCGGAUUUACUGGGUGUAAAGGGAGCGUACACGGCAUAGCAAGUCUGAAGUGAAAUACCCGGUCUUCACCUGGGAACUGCUUUGGAAACUGUUACGCUAGAGCGGUGGAGAGUCCAGCGGAAUUCCUAGUGUAGCCGUGAACUGCGUAGAUAUUUAGCAGGAACACCGUGGCCAAGGCGC